GAUGACCUAGAAAAUUCCUAGAGAGGUAUCAUAUUUAGGAAUUUGCUAGUUCUUCCA
rnacentral:pre_miRNA from 1 species